GAUGAACGCUGGCGGCGUGCUUAACACAUGCAAGUCGAACGGAUUUAAUAGAAAGCUUGCUUUCGGUUAAAUUAGUGGCGGACGGGUGAGUAACGCGUGGAUAACCUGCCGUAUACAGGGGGAUAACACUUAGAAAUAGGUGCUAAUACCGCAUAAGCGCACAGUUUCGCAUGAGACAGUGUGAAAAACUCCGGUGGUAUACGAUGGAUCCGCGUCUGAUUAGGUAGUUGGUGGGGGUAACGGCCCACCAAGCCGAUGAUCAGUAGCCGGCCUGAGAGGGUGAACGGCCACAUUGGGACUGAGACACGGCCCAAACUCCUACGGGAGGCAGCAGUGGGGAAUAUUGGGCAAUGGGGGAAACCCUGACCCAGCAACGCCGCGUGGAGGAAGAAGGUUUUCGGAUUGUAAACUUCUGUCCUUGGUGACGAAGGAAGUGACGGUAGCCAAGGAGGAAGCCCCGGCUAACUACGUG
rnacentral:rRNA from 1 species